CCCUUGCUUGGGUUAUUUUGCACACUCUGCCCAGUGUCUGUGCCUUUCACAAACAAAUGGCUAUUGUGUCAGAGACUUUGUCCAGGGCAGGUCCUGCCUGGAACCCUGCUUCCUCUUGGCCCAAUGGACUCCCCCUGCAGAGGACCUGGCUUCUGAGCAACAAGAUUUUGUCUGUUUUACUGAUGGCUCCGUUCACUUCAAGAGAGGCAAAGACCCAUGAGCUCAGCUUAUCCAGUGCGGGUCCUGCCGAGUCCUUCCUCUGAGAGAGCUCCAGGGUGGAAUGGCUGGCAUCUGAGAGGGCCUUGAGGGAAGGAGCAGAGAUCUCCUCCCUCAGUGACUGCUGGUCCCUAGAGUUUGAUUGGUACCAGGCCCCCGUGGCUGGGUUAGGUGCUGAGAGAUCAGGUUUCUGCCUAAAGGAACUCUGGAACUAAAUGUGUCUUCUUUCAAAUUUCACUCAUAAAUACUCUCAAGAUAACUUGUUUGAGCAUCCUGUGAUUAUUCAUAUCAAGCAAAGUAAAGGAAAUAUACAAUCUCCAAAGGCACUGUCCUCUGUCAUGAAGAAUUCAAGCUGAAGAAAGAACUUCGGAGGUGGUGAAGUCCUCCAGAUGCUCCUCUGUGCCAGUU
rnacentral:lncRNA from 1 species